GAAUAUUAGUCAAUGCUCGAAAGAGUGAACUAGCUAACUGAAAUCAAUUUAUAAAAAAUUGAUAACAUAAGGGAAAAUAAUGAUAUUACCUUAUUAUUAGUGUCGUCCAAAACUGGUGCCAGAAGACUCGGUAAGGCCAGAGACAUAAACGUUAAUCGUCUUAAUCAGGCGUAAAGGGUUUGUAGGCGGCUUUAAAAUUUACUAACAAAGAAAUAAAAUAAUAAGUAAAGAAUAAAAGCUAGAAUCAAAUAGAGGAUAUAUGAAAGAAUGCUUAGAGUAGGUCUGAUAUCCUUAGAUACUAAGUAGAAUAUUAAAGGCGAAAGCUUUUUUCCAUUAAUGAUUGACGCUCAGAAACGAAGGUGAGGAUAGGAAAUAGGAUUAGAUACCCAGAAUACCCCUCUCUGUAAACGAUGAAUGGUAGUUAUUAGUAAAAAUUUAUUAAUGGCAAUGUUAACACGAUAACCAUUCCGCCUUGUGAGUACAACUGCAAAGUUGAAAACAAAAAAAUUAGUCGGUUUCGGAGCAAACGAAGUGAAGCAUGUUAUUU
rnacentral:rRNA from 1 species